rnacentral:lncRNA from 1 species
UUGGCUUUUCAAUAGUAAUCAUGUCUUGGGUUUGUUUGAAGAAUUUACAAGGAAUAAAACAUAAGUUCUUAAGAAGUGAUGAUGAAUGUUUAAGGUUUAUAUAUGCGAAAAAGGGAUAAAAAUACAAAUGGUUUUGGAAGCAAACUUUGUUGUAGUGCUUUGGUAAAAAAUAAUUUGUUUGAAUCUGCCGAUGAUUUUAAGGUGAAGAAGGGGAAAAAAGAUAAAAGAUGACAGAAAGAAAUGAGGA